GCUGCUCAGUCGGUAGAGCAUGAGGCUUUUAAUUCCAGGGUCGUGGGUUCAAGUGCCAGGUUGGGCA